AUGCCUCGGAUUGGUAUGAAAUUCAAUUCCACAAAAGAGGCUUGGAACUUUUGGACAUGUUAUGGAGGUCAUAUUGGUUUUGAUGUAAGGAUAAAUUAUGAAAACAAGAGCAAACUCGAUGGAGUAAUCACUUCAGCAAGAUAUGUUUGUUCCAAUGAGGGCUACAGAAGAAAAGACAAAAGGGAUAAUAGUACAAAGCGUCCUCGUGCAGAAACAAGGACCGGCUGCAAUGUUCGAAUGGGAAUUACUAUAGACCGAGAAGCAGGAAAUUAUGAGGUGCAUGAGUUAGUUGUUGAACACAACCAUGUCUUGCAAUUACCUGGGACAAGCCACUUGAUGCCAUCACAGAGGAAGAUUUCGGCCUUGCAAGCAUUUGAAAUUGAAACAACAGAUGAUUCAGGAAUUGUACCUAGAAAAGCCCAUGAGCUAGCAAGUCGACAAGUUGGUGGUCCACUAAACCUUGGCUACACAUCUCGUGAUCGCAAGAACCACUUGCGAACCAAGCGACAAAGGGACCUGAUGUAUGGUGAAGCUGGAAGUAUGCUCAAGUAUUUUAGAGAUAAAAAGAAUGAGAAUCCUGCAUUUGAAUAUGACAUGCAACUAGAUUGCGAUGAAAAUAUAGCAACUAUCUUCUGGGCUGAUGCAAGGAUGAUAAUUGACUAUGCUCAUUUCGGUGAUGUUGUUACCUUCGAUACAACAUUUGGGACAAACAAAGAGUACAGACCCUUUGGUGUGUUUGUUGGCUUCAACCAUUUCAGAGAAAUGGUCAUUUUUGGUGCUGCACUUUUAUAUGAUGAGACAUUUGAAUCAUUCAAAUGGUUGUUCAACACGUUCCUAUCAGUGCAUAACAAAAAACAACCAAGGACAAUCUUUAUUGAUCAAGAUGUAGCAAUGGGUAAUGCAAUUCAGGCAGUAUUUUACCGAAGCAUGGCAUGGGUUGUGCACUUUUCACAUAAUGCAAAAUGCCAUCAGGCACUUACCUCAUAA
rnacentral:rRNA from 1 species